GCAGAUUUUUUUUUUGCCACACUCUGUAAUUUUAUUGCCAUGGACAAUGCUUUAGGUUGUAAAUAUUACUAAACUCUUAAGUUCAGAGGCAAAAGCUGUUCCAAUGUAUUCAGAUGAUUGUAUAAUGAAAUCUAAUCAUUCAAAAGAUCCGCCAUGUUUCCUGUACAAAUGGUAUCUCUAGAUUAAAAUAUUCUGCAUUUUACACGUUUAGGCUACUUCCAGAUUUUGUACCUUCAGAAUACCUAAGUAGAUUUAUUAUUAUUUGAUUUGAUUUCAGUUUGGUACCUGUGUACAGUAUGUAGUCGUGGUGACGCCUUGUUACACCAAUAUUUAACUGUUUAAGUAUUAUGUGCUGAUGUUUGGCAGGCAGAAAAUUUUGUCAGAGACAAGUGCACGGAGGAAAGUAAAAGCACCUGUUCUAUCAGAAAUGAUUUUCAUCCUUAAAAAAAAAUCAUUGAAAUCUUUUCUUAGGAUCGAAAACAAAUGCUAAUGGUUCUUUCUGUGGACAAGAUUUUCUGCCAUCCACUCGGCAAUGUAUGAGUUUUUUUGAACUUUUGGACACUUGCUGCGUUAGAAAAUUGAGUGGAAAGGACAGAUGCUGUAUGCGUGAAAGGUGAUUCCAUUACUUAUGUAAAAUAGAGAGCUGGAGAAUUUUGUAGAAAAAAGUGAAAUAUUACAAAAGUGAAAUAUCUUUGUAAUAAUUUCAUCUGUGACACCUAUAAAAGAUUUAAAUUAUUG
rnacentral:sRNA from 1 species